rnacentral:lncRNA from 1 species
UGGGUAUAAGUAGACGUCUAUAUGGACGUCGGUGGAUAUCGUUAACCGACGUUUAUAUUGACGUCGGUUAAGAAGAUUUCCGACGUCCCAUGGAUGUCAUCCUUAUAGACGUCUGUUGUGUAAGUGACGUUAAAAGCCCAAAUUAACCGACGUUAAACAGCGUUUCUGCACUAAUGAUUGUAUUUUAAAUAAGCAUAUAUUUAGUUUAUAAUUAAUUUCCUAAAUAUAUCAUUUGUUACAUAAUCAGAUUUUUAGGACAAUUAUGCUUUUUUUUGGUUCCCCGUCAUCUAUUUUUCUUUUCUUUUUCUCACUGUCAGACGGGUACCAAGAGUUCUUUCCAUCCG